AUGGAAAAACACCUCGGCGGCCAGCUGGCUGCUCUCUGCCCAGAUCUGGGAGGCACAGGGUGUCUGUGGGGUGGUUCCACACCUCCAUGCUGCAGUGUGGAGAGGAGUCCACCCGGUUUGCUGGCUGUAGGAGCAGGAGGGAGGGGACAAAGGAACGGCCAUAUCGACAAUGGAUUGGUGCAUUCUGAGUGCAGGUUUUGCUGCAAUUUUUUUCAUCAAGUACGGUCUCCGAAUACGGUGUCUUCACUCCCUGUCGACUGCAUUAAAAUUCUCUGACUACAUCACAACAAUGAACAAGCCCUGACUGCAGUGGUCCAUUAAAGAAGAAAAGUCCAUGCUGGGAAUACUCUGGACCCCUCCGUGGUGACGGAGCAAGCCCACGCUUCUGGAAGAAUGGCAAAACCCAAGCUAACUGAAAUAACAAGAAGGAAUUGUUGUUGACUUUUAACCCAUAAAUUCUCUUAGAAUUUAGUUUCCCUGAAAUGAGUUAUUUGCUUUGUGAUGCUUGUUACUUGCUGUAUCGAUUAUGCUUGAGAAAAUAAAGGACAAUGUGAAAUGCUGAGAUGUGACUUG
rnacentral:lncRNA from 13 species